rnacentral:rRNA from 2 species
UUUAAGGUCUAACCUGCCCAAUGAGGAUUUAAAUGGCCGCAGUAUUUUGACUGUGCAAAGGUAGCAUAAUUAUUAGUUUUUUAAUUGAAAGCUUGUAUGAAGGGUUGGACGAGAUAAAAUCUGUCUUUAUUUAAAUUAGAGUAAAAUUUAACUUUUAAGUCAAAAGGCUUAAAUGUUUAUAAAAGACGAGAAGACCCUAUAGAUCUUUAUUUAUUUAAGAUUUUAAUAAUUUAGGAUUAUUUUAAUUUGAAGUUUUAAAUAAAUUUUAUUGGGGUAAUAUAAAGAUUAAAUAAAUUCUUUUUAUUUAUUACAUUGAUUUAUGAAUAUAUGAUCCAUUAAUAUUGAUUAUAAGAUUAAGUUACCUUAGGGAUAACAGCGUAAUUUUUUUGGAGAGCUCAUAUCGAUAAAAAAGUUUGCGACCUCGAUGUUGGAUUAAAAAUUAGCUUGGGUGCAGAAGCUCAAGAUUUUGGUCUGUUCGACCAUUAAAUUUUUACAUGAUCUGAGUUCAGACCGGCGUAAGCCAGGUCGGUUUCUAUCUUUAUUUAAAUAAAAUGUUUUAGUACGAAAGGACCAAAUAUUUAAUAUAGUUAUAUUUAUUUAUUGAAGAAUAUU